AGACCCCUAGCUGGAGCUGAGCGGGGGGCAGGGAGGGCAGGGCAGGGUGGCAGCUGGGGAGCCCCAGGGGUGGAGAGGAGUGGACAUCAUGAGUGACCAGUGUGGCAGAGAGGAUUGGCCAACAAGGACCAAGAAAAGGCCAUGCUGCUGCCUCCGGUAAUUUCCAAAUGAGCAGGUCAGGAAGCUGAAGCACGGAGCUGUCAGGCAACGUGCCUGAGCCUCGAGUGGAACAGCUUGCUGGAGGCCAGCGGGGCUCGGAGACCAGGUUCUUUCUCGGGGCCGCCUACCUUGUGAAUGUCCCUGAUCUUACGUCGCAGCUCUGUCUGCUGCUG